AACGAACGCUGGCGGCAUGCCUAACACAUGCAAGUCGAACGAGACCUUCGGGUCGAGUGGCGAACGGGUGCGUAACGCGUGGGAACCUGCCCUUAGGUUCGGAAUAACUCCCCGAAAGGGGUGCUAAUACCUGAUAAUGUCUUCGGACCAAAGAUUUAUCGCCUUUGGAUGGGCCCGCGUUGGAUUAGCUAGUUGGUAGGGUAAAAGCCUACCAAGGCGACGAUCCAUAGCUGGUCUGAGAGGAUGAUCAGCCACACUGGGACUGAGACACGGCCCAGACUCCUACGGGAGGCAGGAGUGGGGAAUAUUGGAAAAUGGGCGAAAGCAUGAUCCAGCAAUGCCGCGUGAGUGAUGAAGGACUUAGGGUUGUAAAGCUCUUUUACCCGGGAUGAUAAUGACAGUACCGGGAGAAUAAGCUCCGGCUAACUCCGUG
rnacentral:rRNA from 1 species